AUUGAACGCUGGCGGCAUGCCUUACACAUGCAAGUCGAACGGCAGCACGGACUUCGGUCUGGUGGCGAGUGGCGAACGGGUGAGUAAUGUAUCGGAACGUACCUUUCAGUGGGGGAUAACGUAGCGAAAGUUACGCUAAUACCGCAUAUUCUGUGAGCAGGAAAGCAGGGGAUCGCAAGACCUUGCGCUGAUUGAGCGGCCGAUAUCAGAUUAGCUAGUUGGUGGGGUAAAGGCCUACCAAGGCUACGAUCUGUAGCGGGUCUGAGAGGAUGAU
rnacentral:rRNA from 1 species